UACAUUUAUAAGCUUUUUCUCCAGUAUGAAUUCUCCAAUGAUAUGCAAGAUGUGAAUUUUGACUGAAUGCUUUGUCACAUUCAUCACACUUAUAAGGUUUCUCACCGGCAUGAAUUAUCAGAUGUUGGGCAAGGUAUGAAUUGCGACUGAAGACCUUGCCACAUUCAUUACAUUUGUAAGGUUUCUCUCCAGUGUGGAUUCUCUGAUGUUGUGCAAGGUGUGAAAUAUGAUGGAAGACCUUUCCACAUACAUUACAUCUGUAAGGUUUCUCUCCAGUAUGAAUGAUCAGAUGUUGUACAAGGUGUGAAAUUUGAUGGAAGACCUUUCCACAUUCAUUACAUUUAUAAGGUUUCUCUCCGGUAUGAAUUCUUUGAUGUUGUGCAAGGUGUGAAAUUUGAUUA
rnacentral:lncRNA from 1 species